GAUGAACGCUGGCGGCGUGCCUAAUACAUGCAAGUCGAACGAAACUUCUUUAUCACCGAGUGCUUGCACUCACCGAUAAAGAGUUGAGUGGCGAACGGGUGAGUAACACGUGGGCAACCUGCCCAAAAGAGGGGGAUAACACUUGGAAACAGGUGCUAAUACCGCAUAACCAUAGUUACCGCAUGGUAACUAUGUAAAAGGUGGCUAUACUACCGCUUUUGGAUGGGCCCGCGGCGCAUUAGCUAGUUGGUAGGGUAAAGGCUUACCAAGGCAAUGAUGCGUAGCCGAAUUGAGAGGUUGAUCGGCCACAUUGGGACUGAGACACGGCCCAAACUCCUACGGGAGGCAGCAGUAGGGAAUCUUCCACAAUGGGCGAAAGCCUGAUGGAGCAACACCGCGUGGGUGAAGAAGGUCUUCGGAUCGUAAAACCCUGUUGUUAGAGAAGAAAGUGCGUGAGAGUAACUGUUCACGUUUCGACGGUAUCUAACCAGAAAGCCACGGCUAACUACGUG
rnacentral:rRNA from 1 species